rnacentral:other from 1 species
GUAUUUCUGCGGUGUUCGUUAACCCAAAUAAUUCAACCGACAUAGAAAACACGGGAGUUCGAGUUCAGCAGUGUAGAACAGGCCUUAAAUGGAAGUUCAAAGCUGUUGACAGGGCACCCACCUUGUAAGAGGCGGGUGUGAAUUAAUUGGGAGAACGGCACUGCGGUAAUAGA